rnacentral:lncRNA from 1 species
GUGCCUUCAAUACUGGAGGUGCUUCAUGACAAUCAUAACUAGUAGUCAUAUGAAUUUAUCUAAAAUAAAUACCAUGGGGCAGUAAAGCAGCUGGAGGAGGAGAGGUAAAGAAAUAGCUGUGAGUGGAGGGGCCCCCUCUUCCAAUCCUUUGGACCCCCUGGGAAACUCAAACCUGCUGUACCUGGAACUGACCGUGAAGAGUGCAGCUGACUGGGACACAGCUGUGGGCAGCCUGAGGAAGUACCAUCUACCUCAGGUUCACCCAUAAAGGACAUAGCUCAAGUGAGAGACUAGGGUGAUGUCCAAUGCUCCUAGGACCUCUUCUCGUUGUGAGACUUUUGUGGAUGAGCUGAGAGUUUGUUUGGACCCGGAAUGAAAACCCGGAGACUGAGAGGGAGGGUGUGUCAAAGGAAAAUAAACUGAUAUGUGUGUGUAACGUUGUAUUAAUGAAGCACUUUUAUAUGUAAGUGUGUAUUUUGUAAUAUUUUGUAAAGUUGUCUGUACACCACUUAAGUUUUUUUGUACACCCUUUAGAGAUAUUUUUAAUAUAUUAAGCAGUACAGAAAUGAACUAAUCAAUCAAUCAAUCAAUAACCCACCAGUUGCUGGUCAUCACCACAUCUUGUAGUAAUGACUUCCAUAGUUUAUGUGCUAUGUCAAGAAGUCCUUCCUGGUGUCUGUACUGAGUCUUCCAAAAGUCAGCUUCAUUGGAUGGCUGCAUGUUCUAGUACUAUGAGAGAGGGGGAAAACCUUCCCUAGCCACAGCAUGAAUAAUUUUAUAUACCUCUGUUAUGUCCCCUCUUAUUCACCCAUUUUAUGCACCACGAAACCUCAAACAUUGCAACCUUUCCUCACAGGCAAAUUACUUUAGCCUCUUGGUGGUUUUUGCUGAACCUUUCAGCCCCUUUUCCAGCUCUACAAUAUCUUUUCUGAGGGCCAGAACAUGGUGUUCCAAGUAUGGCCUCAUGAGAGUUUGGACAAAGGUAGUAUGACUUGAGAUGUUUUAUUUUUCAUCCCUUCCCUAAUGAAAUUUGCCUUUUCACAGCUUCUGCAGACAUGGUCAACAUUUUCAUUGAGCUAUCCACCAUGAUCCCAACAUCUCUUUCCUGGUCUCUCAUCACCACUUCAGGUCCAAUCAUUGUAUAUGUGGAUUUAUGAUUUAUUUAUGUCUGUUUCAUGUGCUUCACUCUCCAUUUGAAUCCCAUUGAAUCCCAUUUGGUAUUUCAAUGCCUAUUUACUUUGGAGACAUAUCCUGAUGGCUCUUUUUUGUUUUUACUGAAGUGUCAUCAGCAAACUUGACUGCUUGUUGCUCACCCUUAACUCCAGUUCAUUUAUGAAUAAGUUAAAAAGCUGCAGCCCUGAUAUAUAGAACCUAUUUCUUAUGUCUGUCCAUUGUGAGACGUGUUCGUUUAUUUAUGCUUCCUGCUCUUUAACAGUUUGUUGAUCCAUGAGAGUAUCUGUCCUCUUAUCCCAUGUAUUCUCAGUUUAUUCAUGAGCCUUUGAGAAGUACUGCAAUAAUGCCAUUCCAGUCUUAGAAAAGUGCAGGGCUAGCAUUGUAUGUUCUCAAAGGCAGAACGAUUUCUCCCCCUUAUUAUUGUUUUCUUCAGAGAAGGAGCUAAAUGAAAAUGUUGCUGUGGAACAAAUGGAAAGCGGAAAGAAUAUACGGGAAAACAAUCAUGGAAUUGUUUGCCUCUCUCCUACCUCCACCAUGACGUAGAAACCAUUUUGAACACUGAAUAGCAGUAACUGUAAGACCUAACUUACAAUAGGAGCCUCACUGUUACAGUAUAAAGCACUUCAUGGGGCUCUAAGUCCCAAAUCACAGUGCCAGUUAAGGAACGGCCUUUUGUUUCAAAAGUUUUCCAUGGCUUCGUUCGGCUUUACAAAUAGGUCCAUGAAAGCAGCUACCCCCCCAAAGUGGUUCCUGGCCUCUAUACUGACAUUUCCAAUUGUGGUAUGCGGUACAUGGAACAGCCAGGAGAAUCCACUUUCUUGCACAGAAGUAACGCUUUCUAGAACUAGCAGAGAUUUCUAGAUUGGUGAAUGGCAGUAAGGUAAAUGAACAGGAACAAAUGCUUUGCUCUGUAUUUGGGAAUUUCAAAUGUGUGUUUUAAUAGUCACAUAGUACCUUGCCUUCAAAAGAAUCAAAUUGGUCAUACUUUUUUUUUAAAAUAUGAAAUGCUCAGAAUUCAAAUAUUGGGAAUACACAAAGCAGUACGGCUUUGUAUGCAGAAUGUCCCUGGUCCAACCUCUGGCAUCUCUAGGUAGAGCUAAGAGAGUUACCUGCCUGAAACCCUGGAGAGUCACUGCUUGUCAACAAUACUGGAGCAAUCUGGCUUUUGGUAUAAGGCAGCUUCCCAUGUUCCUACUGUAUAAAGCAGUACCUCCUGCUUUUCUGUUUAAGCUUCACCCUCCUGGCGAUAUUAGAUACAGGCUAAGCUUUGCAAACACCUUUCUACCUGUUACCACUCCAACCCUCCAUUCAGAUCUCACUGUGUAGGUCACACCAUGAGGUGGCUAAAGCUGUCACCUCAUAGUGGGUAGGAUGUCAUGAUGUUAGACUACCAUCUGCUUUGAAAUAUAGGCAUUCCAUGCCUCUGGAAUCUCACCUAUUUAGUGAUUGCAGUGCUCACUCCCCCCCCCCCCCCGUUGUACAUUGUGUCUGCUUAAUGUGUACCUAAUAUUGGAGGUUAUCUUCUAAAAUUCCUUAUUUACCACUCAGUGUUAUUGGGAGUCGGCUAUGUGGAACCCUCUAAAUAUAAUAACACACAUGCACACACAUGUAUAAGCUAAGGGCUGUUUUAGUCAAAUGUUAAUGGUGGCAGGUCUGUCACAUGUCUCUCUGAUGAAUACAAUGAGUGCAUGUAUUAAUCCCUAAAUAUAUAUAGGCCUCAACCACAUUGCCAUUUCUAGGAUUGCGUUUGGGUUAUUAAAAUAUGUAUAGGCCACUCUUCGUUGCCCACAAGGCAUCCCAGAGUGGGUUAAGAACCAAGCUGUUUGGGAUUUAUUCUUAUUAGAAUGAGAUUUAGUUGAUAUUAUGCAAAUAUCCCCUCUCCCCGCCCCAAUAUAAUUUUGAAUGUAAGACUAAUAGAGUUGGUUAAUACUUCAAAGAAAUGUGUAGCUAUGGCGCUAGUGCCAGGAGUUGGCAUAACUGGACAACCUACUGAGACCCACACCUUUGCAGGCGGUUCAGUGCCAAGAGUACCCUACAGAUCCAUUGCCACUUGCUCACUCCCCCUGCCCACCCUUCCUUUUCCUUGGUUUCUGGAAAGCUCAAUAGCAGAAGAAGCAGAAAUAACUGCUGCCUAGUCACUUGCCAGCUUCCUUCCUGGCAAGCAAGCAGGCACUAUUAGUGAGGAGAAGCUGAUGGCAAACGACCUCCUAAACCUAGAGCCCAUGUCCACUUUCUAGAAUUUAUUUGCAUCUACACAAAAGUGAGAUUCUGGAGUAAAGGAAGGCUAGUACUUUAUACAAGCCAGUGUGGCACUGAACAGAGUAACCAGCACAAAGUGCUCAUGACAACUUUGUUGAAGCAUUGCACCCAGUGCAUGGACAUCCAGUAGGCUUAGAGGUGAGAAGGACAUUACCAGUUCGCAUAUAGGCUCCACAAACUCUAGAGUUUGAUGCAUACUCAAAAAUAAGAACAAACAAGCAUAGGCAAUGGGUGCAGAAAAGUAUCACUGUUGGCAUCCAUCUGUCUCAGGAGAGAAUGGAGUGUGCCUCCAGGGGCAACGUCAAACCACUGACUUAGCAGCACUAAAGUGACCUCUGUGGGGCACAAGUAUGGAGGUCUUGAGCGGCCCAGAUGACAAGAUCCCCCUCUCAGCCUCACUGAUAUGGUCCAAAGGAAAGCAGACCAAUAUGUCUGUCACCAGCUUGGCUAUGGGAGAUGCUGGAAGGAGGUGUACAAGGUGCCAUCCAACCAUCUCAGGGACUCCACUCCCGAUUUGUGUAGGGUUUGCUUCUUCGACUUUUCUUCUCCUGAAUAUAUCUCAGAAGGCAGUGGAGGUUUAGGAGUUUUUCUUAUAGCUGGAAGGAGUUUUCCUUCAUGCUGGCUGGGGCUGAGUCAAACAGCAUCUGGAGAAGCAAAGGUUCCCCCUAGCUUUAAACCAUCCAUCUUGAGCUCAGUUUCAGUUCUCCAGCUGGUGGUACAGAAGCCCCAGAGGCCAGUACCUCCUGCAACAACUCUGAGCUUGAGGCCAGGGACAUGACAGUUAGAGAUGCAGGUACUGACUGACUACAAAACAGUGGUUUGUGGCAAUCCUGUGAUGCCACCCACAGUUUCUUUUGUGCACUCAAACACCACGCCAGUCCAACAACCACAGCAUAGUCUUCACAAUUCAGUCUCUAUUUCCACCCCUCACACUGUAACUCACACUGUCUUUUACCUGGAAAAAAUCCACAGAAAUUGCUGGUGUCUCCUUCCAGGCAGCUAACACCACUUGUAUGAUGGGGGACACUACUGCUGACGCUCUGCCCCCGGAAGCUGCCAUGUUGUACGUGGCAGAAAAGGGAGUGUUAGAAGGUUACCUUAGAAAGGGUGCAGUGUUCCCUUUCCUUGCACUAUAAUUCCAAAGUGGUGUUGCAAGAAUGUGCAUCUUUUCUGGAAAUGAAUUGCAAGUGCACAAUAAUUAUGAGCCACUCU